rnacentral:rRNA from 1 species
AACCUCCGCAAUGUGAGAAAUCGCGACGGGGGGAUCCCAAGUGCCAUUCUUAACGGGAUGGCUUUUCAUUAGUGUAAAGAGCUUUUGGAAUAAGAGCUGGGCAAGACCGGUGCCAGCCGCCGCGGUAACACCGGCAGCUCUAGUGGUAGCAAUUUUUAUUGGGCCUAAAGCGUCCGUAGCCGGUUUAAUAAGUCUCUGGUGAAAUCCUGUAGCUUAACUGUGGGAAUUGCUGGAGAUACUAUUAGACUUGAGAUCGGGAGAGGUUAGAGGUACUCCCAGGGUAGAGGUGAAAUUCUGUAAUCCUGGGAGGACCGCCUGUUGCGAAGGCGUCUAACUGGAACGAUUCUGACGGUGAGGGACGAAAGUUAGGGGCGCGAACCGGAUUAGAUACCCGGGUAGUCCUAACUGUAAACGAUGCGGACUUGGUGUUGGGGUGGCUUUGAGCUGCUCCAGUGCCGAAGGGAAGCUGUUAAGUCCGCCGCCUGGGAAGUACGGUCGCAAGACUGAAACUUAAAGGAGUU